CCUGCAGGUUCAAGUGUCCUGGUUCAGGUUUGUUCCACUGUAUUCUGACUGGACUGGUGUUUGAUAUGACUCGAGAGGCAGAGCUCCUGUACAAAAUCAUCCAGUGGGAUGAGAGCGUCCUCCAACCAGCUGGAAAGAUGGCUGCAGGGCCACUGUUCGACAUCAAAUGUUGUGAGGAUGCUGUCCGUCAGCUACACUUCCCACACUGUGUAAAAACACAGGAAGCUCUGCUCUCUGAUGGCCUCCUGUCUGUUGCCCACUUCACUGAUGAUGCAAUGAGCUUCAUCAAACCACUAAAGAUCACAGAUACUCAUGUGAUUGUCGAUAACCCCCACCUCUCUGCCUUUGGCCUUGUCCUGGAUUUCCUGAUGGGCAUUUGGAACAAGCAAGUUAAGGGGCAAGUUUUAUUGUUCCUCAGUCCACCAAACCAUGCAAAACAGACUCAAAACAUCAAUGUGCUUCUUCUGCCAAGAAACAUCCCCAUGACUGAGGUAAGCAAGCAUCAUCAACCUUCCCACUUCAUCCUGGUGCCUUCUGCGUGUAACCUCAUCAAAAAUACGACCUACACCGUUCACUGUCCCGUGGCCAAUAAAAUCCAACCCAAAAGAGCUGAGUUUGACAUGGAGUUUGGACCAAACUACUCCCCAACAUUUGUGAUCCGCCUUCCAAUGAAUACAGAUGAAGUGACUCUAACCAUCCGAGACCAAACUGACACAGAGGUUUGGGAGCAUGAAGCAGAUCUAACAGAUCAUCUACCUUUCUCUGCAGAUGGGAGAAUCCCAGCAGAGAAAAUCAUGGUGAUGCUUCCCGAUAUCCUCGAAGAUUUAAACGAUGAAGAAUUCAAGAAGUUUAAGUGGCACCUGAAGACUGAAGUGUGGAACAACAUAUCACCCAUCAAAGAAAACUAUUUGUCCAAAGCAGACAGAAAUGACACAGUAGAUCUGAUGGUGCAGACAUAUGAGAUCACUGGAUCUGUGCAGGUGAUGGAGAACAUCUUAAAGAUGAUAUGUAGGAACGACCUGGUGAAGAAAUUAUCAACCCUCAGACAUUAAAUAUCUGCUUUCACACAGACUGUACACAGCUCUCUAUGUGAGAACAGAGAAGCUAGUUUUCCAGUGAAUACGUAGAUGGUGUGCGGUCACUCUAUUUCAUGCAUACUCCUGGGCUGAGUGUAUUGGAGGUAAAAAUAAGUACCAAUGUGUGUAAAAGACUGAGGAGCUCCCUGAAAUCCAACAUGAGUAAAGAGCAGCUAAGAAGCUUCAUGCUGCUUUCUUUCUGCUACAGCUCCCAGAAUAAACUGAACUGUGUAUGUUCCACAUGAAGUGAGGUGACCACAGUCUUGUGAAUAUUAAGACUUUUUUGACUUUACUGGUUUGGAGUAUUGGACUGAGGAAGUCCAACAACAUUGUGUACAGAGCAGAUCUGAAGCAGUUGUCAUCGUCAGAGAAUCGUAGUUUUUACUCUGCUUGUGAAAAUAUUGGGUGGAGUGUGAUACUGUUCAUGGAGUCAGCAGUGAAGGACACACCAACAUUAGAUCAAAUGAGCUUUGAUGUUAGGUCAGAUUUUUUCUUUUUAUCUUUGAUGAUUAAGAGGACAGUUUAUAUGGAGACAAAGCGCAGCCAGCGUGUUCUGUUUACAUUUUGAGUAUAUCUUUAUUUUUACUGAUUUGUGGUUCGGUUCAGUACAGCCUCACCUGUGUCCUUUUGUAUCAUUUCGUCGUGUUUUCAUCUUGGGUACGUGAUCCUCUGUGUAGUUACUUCCUGUUUUAUUUUGAUAGUCAUUUGUCUCUUUGCCUUGUAUUUACAUUUGUUUCCGUGCCUCGUUGUCUUGUUUGUUUCCCAGCUGUGUCUCACUCCUUUAAUUUUUCCAGUUUUACAUCUGAUGCUUGUGUAAUGAUGAUUAUUCAGUUGUUUUUUUUUUAUUCUUGAUUUCUAAACUAUUACUUCACGAAGGUGAUUACAGGCAUUAAUUAACACAGUUUACAAGAGAAAAACAAAACAAAAGGAAAAAAAACAGUUAUUUUCUUAUUAAGACAAAACAAAGAUGACAACUGUUUUAUCAAUGCAGGGAGUCAGCUAUUUUUAUUUUUUGUACUUUUGUGAUAACUGUAUUUAUUCUGGUCUGCAUGUUUCAGUCAGGACAGAGUAGAGAGACUCUGUAAUGACCAAUGAGAGUAAAGAUGUAAUGAGUAAACAGUCAUGUCAUUUUCAGUUUUUAUUUUACUUUUCAAUACUUAAUUGACAAGUAGACUUUAAGAAAGUGGAAGCAGCAGGUUCAGGCAGGACACAGACAGUUGUUUGCUUUCACUUUGGUUUGUUACUUUCUGUAACUAAACUGGGAAUAGUUUGCACACCAAGCUUAAUUCAUUUACCCUUGGUAGGAGGGCUGGACUGGUAAUCUGGCAUCCCGGGCAUUUGCCCAGCGAAAUGAUGCCCUUCUGAGCUGAUGACCCAGUAUAAUUUGUUUUUCUUGUUCAAUAUAAUUAUAAAGACUGCAGUCUGACUUGAAGGGGUGCUGCACGUAGGCCCUACAAACACUUACAGCAGCCCAUUCCUUCAUUUUCAUUCCUAAUCUGGAUUACCCAAUCAGAAAUAGCUUAGUGUGGAAGAAGUGAUUGACACAAGCGGAUAAACAAAAGAAAAACAGGGGUCUGAAAAUCUAAGAGGAAAAAAAUGAAACAAAAUGUGUUAAAUCAAAUACAUAUCAGCUGUCCUGGUGGGUUCUGCUGCACCAUCAACGUCAGUACCAGCAACAGCUGGUAAUGAACGUGGCAGCGCCAGGAGGCUGCUUUUUAACUGAUCAUGAUGGGCUGCCUGGACCAAAAAUCCCAGGGACUUUGUUCUGUCUCAGUCCACCCUUGGUAUAAUGAAAACAAAUACACAUAAUUUCUUUCACAACAAAGACUCAGAGAUAAACAGAAAAAGAUCAGAUGGUGAGAGUGUA